GAAAACAGUGAGACUGAAUGGCUGAAACAAAAAUACCUGUAGUUGCGAUUGAUUUUGGAAGUUCCGGUGUAGGAUAUGCAUUCUCAUUUGCAUACCAAUAUAAAAACAAUCCUUUGGAUAUCUCCACAUCGGUAUGGAAUAAUGGAAACGGACCAGUUCAUACAAAAGUUCCGGCUGUUCUUCUGUUUGAUCCGGAUAAAAAGUUUCACUCAUUUGGAUUUGAAGCCGAAGACAAAUAUGAAGAGCUGCUAAACGCAAAUAAAGCAGAUCAAUGGUAUUUUUUGAAAAGGUUCAAAAUGCAGUUGUAUAGUGCUGUAAAUGCCGGAGAGGAUAUAAGAGUAGAUUUUGAAUUGCUGGAUGUUGGCGGAAAAAGUAUAUCUGCAAAAGCUGUUUUUUCUGCUGCAAUUGGCUUUUUGAAAGACCAUUUUGUUCAGCAAAUGCAGUGGAGAAAGCUUGGCACGGUUGAAGACGACAUAUUUUGGGUAGUUUCUGUACCAUCAAUAUGGAAUGAUUCCGCAAAACAGUUUAUGAGAGAAUCAGCUGAAAAGGUUGGUAUAAAAGGUGAAAAGUUUAGUCUAGUAUAUGAGCCAGAGGCUGCAUCUAUUUACUCAAGCCUUCUUCCUGUUGAUAAAUU